GACGAACGCUGGCGGCGUGCUUAACACAUGCAAGUCGAACGGUGACCCAGGGCUUGCCCUGGUGAUCAGUGGCGAACGGGUGAGUAACACGUGGGCAACCUGCCCCUGACUUCGGGAUAACUCCUCGAAAGAGGAGCUAAUACCGGAUACGACCACUUCGGACAUCCGAUGGUGGUGGAAAGUUUUUCGGUCAGGGAUGGGCCCGCGGCCUAUCAGCUAGUUGGUGGGGUAAUGGCCUACCAAGGCGACGACGGGUAGCCGGCCUGAGAGGGCGACCGGCCACACUGGGACUGAGACACGGCCCAGACUCCUACGGGAGGCAGCAGUGGGGAAUAUUGCGCAAUGGGCCGAAAGCCUGACGCAGCGACGCCGCGUUGAGGGAUGAAGGGCCUUCGGUUGGUUAAACC
rnacentral:rRNA from 1 species